GAUGAACGCUAGCGGCAGGCCUAAUACAUGCAAGUCGAGGGGUAUGGGUUGCUUGCAACCCAGAGACCGGCGCACGGGUGCGUAACGCGUAUGCAAUCUACCUUAAUCAGGGGGAUAGCCCGGAGAAAUCCGGAUUAACACCGCAUAACAUUGAGUUGUGGCAUCACAGUUCAAUCAAAUAUUUAUAGGAUUAAGAUGAGCAUGCAUGACAUUAGUUAGUUGGUGAGGUAACGGCUCACCAAGACCACGAUGUCGAGGGGAUCUGAGAGGAUGACCCCCAGCACUGGUACUGCGACACGGACCAGACUCCUACGGGACGCAGCAGUGAGGAAUAUUGGUCAAUGGGCGCUAGCCUGAACCAGCCAUGCCGCGUGCAGGAAGCCGGCCCUAUGGGUUGUAAACUGCUUUUGUACCGGAAUAAACCUUCUCUUGCGAGAGAAGCUGAACGUACGGUAAGAAUAAGGAUCGGCUAACUCCGUG
rnacentral:rRNA from 1 species